rnacentral:rRNA from 1 species
CAUGCAAGUCGAACGGUAACAGGAAGAAGCUUGCUUCUUUGCUGACGAGUGGCGGACGGGUGAGUAAUGUCUGGGAAACUGCCUGAUGGAGGGGGAUAACUACUGGAAACGGUAGCUAAUACCGCAUAACGUCGCAAGACCAAAGAGGGGGACCUUCGGGCCUCUUGCCAUCGGAUGUGCCCAGAUGGGAUUAGCUAGUAGGUGGGGUAACGGCUCACCUAGGCGACGAUCCCUAGCUGGUCUGAGAGGAUGACCAGCCACACUGGAACUGAGACACGGUCCAGACUCCUACGGGAGGCAGCAGUGGGGAAUAUUGCACAAUGGGCGCAAGCCUGAUGCAGCCAUGCCGCGUGUAUGAAGAAGGCCUUCGGGUUGUAAAGUACU